CCUCUGCAUAUUGCCAAAAUUUGAUGAUGAUAAAAUGAAGUUGUAGCAAGGAUUAACUUUUCUAAUCAGAUAUUGCUAUCUUCUUCUAACUUUUGUGCACAUUAUUAAUUAGGAAUUGCAUUUGUAUUUGAACUGCAGUUAGCUUCGACGCUCAAUAAGAACUCCAUUGGCAGCAAAGUCAGGAUUUCUAGGUUGGAAUUUAAGCCAAAGGGAGAGCUGUGAUUAUGCAUCGAUCAUUCUCAAAAAUGUAUGCGUCACCUCAAAAAAACAUAUCUUGACACUGGAGAUAAGAGUACUAUAAGAGGGAAUUGAUGGAGAGCUAGAUAACCAAGACCAUUACUCUCAAAAGGAGGCCUCUGUCAUUCUUUAAUGUGGACAAUCGAAAGUUGUCUUGCUGAGAGCUGAACCACGUAAAGAGUUACCAAGAUGGAAUUAGGCUCUCAGCUUCAAUAACUUUCUAUGAAGCGGUAGCUUAAAUUCAAGUUUCACAUAUAUUGCUUAAUAUAAAUAAAAUGUAUAGUUUAGAUCCAAAGUAUAUAUGAACUUAAACAUCUAUUUUAUUUUUUUUCUAUUAUAUAGAAAUGUGUAUGCAUUAAUAUA